GACGAACGCUGGCGGCGCGCUUAACACAUGCAAGUCGAGCGAGAACCAGGGCUUCGGCUCUGGGGACAGCGGCGAACGGGUGAGUAACACGUGAGUAAUCUGCCCUCGACACUGGGAUAGCCCGGGGAAACCCGGAUUAAUACCGGAUAGCCUUUCGAGCUCUCGGGCUCGUCAGAAAAGGAUGGCUUCGGCUUUCGGUUGAGGAUGAGCUUGCGGCGGAUUAGCUUGUUGGUGAGGAACGGCUCACCAAGGCGACAAUCCGUAGCUGGUCUGAGAGGACGAUCAGCCACACUGGGACUGAGACACGGCCCAGACUCCUACGGGAGGCAGCAGUGGGGAAUCUUGCGCAAUGAGCGAAAGCUUGACGCAGCGACGCCGCGUGAGGG
rnacentral:rRNA from 1 species